rnacentral:rRNA from 1 species
GAUGAACGCUGGCGGCGUGCCUAAUACAUGCAAGUCGAGCGAACAGAUGAGGAGCUUGCUCCUCUGACGUUAGCGGCGGACGGGUGAGUAACACGUGGAUAACCUACCUAUAAGACUGGGAUAACUUCGGGAAACCGGAGCUAAUACCGGAUAAUAUAUUGAACCGCAUGGUUCAAUAGUGAAAGACGGUUUUGCUGUCACUUAUAGAUGGAUCCGCGCCGCAUUAGCUAGUUGGUAAGGUAACGGCUUACCAAGGCAACGAUGCGUAGCCGACCUGAGAGGGUGAUCGGCCACACUGGAACUGAGACACGGUCCAGACUCCUACGGGAGGCAGCAGUAGGGAAUCUUCCGCAAUGGGCGAAAGCCUGACGGAGCAACGCCGCGUGAGUGAUGAAGGUCUUCGGAUCAUAAAACUCUGUUAUUAGGGAAGAACAAAUGUGUAAGUAACUAUGCACGUCUUGACGAUACCUAAUCAGAAAGCCACGGCUAACUACGUG